rnacentral:rRNA from 1 species
UACGUAGGGUGCGAGCGUUAAUCGGAAUUACUGGGCGUAAAGCGUGCGCAGGCGGUUCGUUGUGUCGGUGGUGAAAGCCCCGGGCUUAACCUGGGAAGUGCGUGCGAAACUGGGGUGCUUGAGUGCUGGAGAGGGUGGCGGAAUUCCCGGUGUAGAGGUGAAAUUCGUAGAUAUCGGGAGGAACACCAGAGGCGAAGGCGGCCACCUGGACAGACACUGACGCUGAGACGCGAAAGCGUGGGGAGCAAACAGG